rnacentral:rRNA from 2 species
CUGGCGCCUUCGGUGUCCGAGUUGUAAUUUGAAGAAGGUAACUUUGGUUUUGGCUCUUGUCUAUGUUCCUUGGAACAGGACGUCACAGAGGGUGAGAAUCCCGUGCGAUGAGAUGCCCAAUUCCAUGUAAAGUGCUUUCGAAGAGUCGAGUUGUUUGGGAAUGCAGCUCUAAGUGGGUGGUAAAUUCCAUCUAAAGCUAAAUAUUGGCGAGAGACCGAUAGCGAACAAGUACAGUGAUGGAAAGAUGAAAAGAACUUUGAAAAGAGAGUGAAAAAGUACGUGAAAUUGUUGAAAGGGAAGGGUUUGAGAUCAGACUUGGUAUUUUGUAUGUUUUACUCUCGGGUGAGGCCUCUGCAGUUUACUGGGCCAGCAUCAGUUUGGAUGGUAGGAUAAUGACAUUGGAAUGUGGCUCUUCGGAGUG